CCUACGGGAGGCAGCAGUGGGGAAUAUUGGGCAAUGGGCGCAAGCCUGACCCAGCAACGCCGCGUGAAGGAAGAAGGCUUUCUGGUUGUUAACUUCUUUUCUGAUGGACGUAGAAUGUGACGGUACCUCAGGAAUAAGCCUCGGCUAACUACGUGCCAGCAGCCGCGGUAAUACGUAGGUGGCAAGCGUUAUCCGGAUUUAUUGGGUUUAAAGGGCGCGUAGGCGUGAAAGCAAGUCAGAUGUGAAAACUCAGGGCUCAACCCUGAGACUGCAUUUGAAACUGUUUUUCUUGAGUGCUGGAGAGGCAAUCGGAAUUCCGUGUGUAGCGGUGAAAUGCGUAGAUAUAAGGAGGAACACCAGUGGCGAAGGCGGAUUGCUGGACAGUAACUGACGCUGAGGCGCGAAAGCGUGGGGAGCAAACAGGAUUAGAUACCCGUGUAGUC
rnacentral:rRNA from 1 species